AGAAGGUGUGUGAGGAAGGUGGCUACCCUGAACUCUCUCUUAGGCAUGAUCCAGGAUCCAGAGUGACAAGUCCAUAGAAAGAUUACAAGAAUGAGAUGUUCCUCAAAGAUGAACAAAUGAUUGAUGGUGAUGACUGAAUUGACUAAGUAGUGGCUGAAAGAUAUCUGAAGUAAACAUGAUUCCUUAAAGACAGUUUGAAGAAGACUUUGAAACCUGACUGUUGUCUGGAAAUUUUCUGUGUUUUGACGUGGAUGGUGUUUGAUUGCUAUCUGUGGGAAUGAAUCAGCCUUAGUUGAACUACAGGACCUGGGAGUUUUUCAAGACCAUAAAGGAGUCAUGGAUUUCUAAACUGGCAAGAGCUGUUUUGUGGAUGGAACACAUGAAACAUCCUUAGGCUAGUAGCUUUGGUCUGUCUCCCCACCAUGUGAGGAGGUGAAGACUGGUGGAUUUGGGAGAAGGGGCUCAGCCCAGUGUGUCUCUGCAGUGUGUUGAG